CUAUCGUCUCUGGGAUUAACUUACCUCGGGCGCGAACGAUGGAGUCUGCCGUCAGGAUUACUAUCUCGGUUCUUCUGUUGGCCAUUGUCAAUGCACACGUUUCACACAGUGGUACGAAGCUACGCAGAGAUGGAGUUUUGAACCUGUACCCAUUCCCCAGGGUCGGUAGAUCACACCAGACCUGGCAAAUACCCACCGACGACCUAUUAGAUCGCGACAUCGAUAAACGACAGCUAUACGCUUUUCCCCGCGUAGGCAGAAGCGAUCUCCGUGGAGUUCAUUUACCUCCUCGACUCGAAGAGAUGCUUCUAAGGAGUCAUGGUUUCGUGAAGCGGGAGAGUGAGAGUGAAAGUGAUACCGGCAUGUGGUUCGGACCUCGACUUGGCAGGGGAAUCAGGAGUGAAGAUGAUAUACCAUUUGGAGAUGAUAACAGCGAGACAGAACAAAAUUUCCCUGAACAUAUUGACCGCAACAAAGGACAGGCUUAGUAAAUCAUUACAACGACUGACAUUUCCCUAUUCCUCUAUUUAUUAAUUAUUAUAUAAAAGAAUUAACUAAAAAAAAGUUUAAUACAAAAGUUGUAUCGUCAUACGAAUCCAUUGAGGUAAUGAUAUGUACUAAGUUUUAGAGAAGCCAUUCCAAACAAAAUACACAGCGCUUUAUGACAACGGACCAAGAAUUAAUAUUCGCAUUCAUUCUAUGUUUUGUCGUCAGCAAUCAAAUCAAUAGUUAAUUAUAGUGAAAAAAAGCGUGUUUUAUAAAGAAGAUUUUGAACUUAGUGAAAGGUGACUUAUGGCUUUAUUUGUGUUUUGAAUCUCAACACACACGCGGGCAUAAUAUGUUACAACAAACCCAGCAUUCAAAUGCGUGUUAUUGCUCCAAACCUCCAAACUUUACCAGUGGGAGGCUCCUUUGCACAGGAUGCCGGCUAGAUUAUGGGUCCCACAACGGUGCCUAUUUAUGCCGUGAAGCACUAAUGUGUAAGCAUUACUGUGUUUCGGACUGAAGGGCGCCGUAGCUAGUGAAAUUACUGGGCAAAUGAGACUUAACAUCUUGUCUCAAGGUGACGAGCGCAGUUGUAGUGCCGCUUAGAAUUUUUGGGGGUUUCAAGAAUCCUGAGCGGCACUGCAUUGUAAUGGGCAGGGCGUAUCAAUUACCAUCAGCUGAACUUCCUGCUCGUCUUGUCCCUUAUUGUCAUAAAAAAACAAACGCUCAGCAUAGACUGAGUGAGUUGAUUACAGUUGGCCACAACUCAUGUUACUAAUAAUCAACUUGAGAUGUCUUCUCUAUUAGGUACUUAGUACAUAAUAUUACCUCAAUCACCUUCAAUAAAUAGAUCUGAUUAAGUUAAAAAUAUUGUUGAGGUAUUUUUUUCAAUUAAUCACUACAGUAGGUAUAGUUACAUCUUAUAGUGCUAUCUUAAAUAUUAAAAAAAAUAAGUAAAUUUAAUUACUGAACUAGUCAUUUCGCCAAUGUAGAAGUAAGUUUUUAAUCGAAUAGUUGUAAAGCGUAAUAAAGCUGGAGUAAUUCCUACGGCUGGGUGGAUUAAAUGUUUAAUCCAAGGAAUUACUUCCGCCUAAUGUUUGUAAGCCAUCUUACUGAAAUAAAUUAUUGAAUGUA